rnacentral:tRNA from 1 species
GGAUUGUGGCUCAGUGGUGGAGCACUUGCCUAGCAUGUGUGAGGCCCUGGGUUCAAUUCUCAGCACCA